AAUGAACGUUGGCGGCAUGGAUUAGGCAUGCAAGUCGGGGGAAUCCCAGCAAUGGGGGAACCGGCGUAAGGGGCAGUAAGGCAUGGGUACCUACAUUGGGGUUCGGGAUAGCCAUCAGAGAUGGUGGGUAAUACCGGAUGACGUCGUGAGACCAAAGAUUUACGGCCCUUAGAGGGGCCCAUGUGAUAUUAGCUAGUUGGUGGGGUAACGGCCCACCAAGGCGAAGAUGUCUAGCGGGUGGGAGAGCACGACCCGCGCCACUCGCACUGAGACACUGGCGAGACACCUACGGGUGGCUGCAGUCGAGGAUCUUCGGCAAUGAGCGCAAGCUUGACCGAGCGAUGCCGCGUGAGCGAUGAAGGCCUUCGGGUUGUAAAGCUCUUUAGUGGGGGAGAAAAGCCGCAAGGUGUGAUCUAUCCCAAAAAUAAGCACGGGCUAAGUUCGUGCCAGCCGCCGCCGUAA
rnacentral:rRNA from 1 species